rnacentral:rRNA from 1 species
GACGAACGCUGGCGGCGCGCCUAACACAUGCAAGUCGAACGAGAGAGAGGAAGCUUGCUUCCUCAAUCGAGUGGCGAACGGGUGAGUAACGCGUGAGGAACCUGCCUUAUACAGGGGGAUAACAGUUGGAAACGACUGCUAAUACCGCAUAACAUAUAGAUGUCGCAUGGCAUUUAUAUCAAAGAUUUAUCGCUGAAAGAUGGCCUCGCGUCUGAUUAGCUAGUUGGUGAGGUAACGGCCCACCAAGGCGACGAUCAGUAGCCGGACUGAGAGGUUGAACGGCCACAUUGGGACUGAGAUACGGCCCAGACUCCUACGGGAGGCAGCAGUGGGGAAUAUUGGGCAAUGGGCGCAAGCCUGACCCAGCAACGCCGCGUGAAGGAAGAAGGCUUUCGGGUUGUAAACUUCUUUUGUCAGGGACGAAAAGGACCGUGUUAAUACCAUGGUCUGCUGACGGUACCUGAAGAAUAAGCACCGGCUAACUACGUGCCAG